CAGUAUCUAAAAAUGGAAACACUGUAUCAGAUCCACAAAUACAUCAGCAUUCAAAGGCACGAUCUCGAUAUGGACGUGUUUAUAAACCAGUCAAUAGGUAUGGGUUUGUAACAUAAACUUGUUGUUUAUUGUAUUUAGUGAAAUAUUUGUGUGUAAGUGUAAUUUUAAUUAAUGUAGUUUAAAAUAGGUUAAUUUGUUUAAUUGUAUUUUUCAUAUGUCCUGAAGUUGUUUACAUUUCAUUUUGAUCAUUUGACAUUGACAGGAAAAUUGUCACAUGACAUAUGACAGAUGUCACAAAAUAGUGUAAGUCAUGUAAUAGCGUUCGGAAACGACAACUUUUGAAAAUUAAAGUAGCCUUAAAUGUGUUUGUAAAAUUGUUAAAAAAAAAAAAAAAAAAAAUGUACUUACCUAAAAAAAAAAAAAAAAAAAAAAAAAAAAAAAAAAAAAAAAAAAAAAAAAAAAAAAAAUUA
rnacentral:misc_RNA from 1 species